rnacentral:rRNA from 1 species
UUUAUACAACGGAGAGUUUGAUCCUGGCUCAGGAUGAACGCUAGCGGCAGGCCUAACACAUGCAAGUCGAGGGGUAACAUAGAAAAGCUUGCUUUUCUGAUGACGACCGGCGAACGGGUGCGUAACGCGUAUGCAACCUGCCCUAUACUGAAGGAUAGCCCGAAGAAAUUCGGAUUAAUACUUCAUAAUAAUUAUUAAUCGCAUGAUUUAUAAUUUAAAGGUUACGGUAUAGGAUGGGCAUGCGUCCCAUUAGCUUGAUGGUAAGGUAACGGCUUACCAUGGCAACGAUGGGUAGGGGGCCUGAGAGGGUGAUCCCCCACACUGGUACUGAGACACGGACCAGACUCCUACGGGAGGCAGCAGUGAGGAAUAUUGGUCAAUGG